rnacentral:misc_RNA from 1 species
UGAGAACAGAUAUCAUUUUGCUACGUUAUACAGUUCCGAAGACAGAGUGCCGAUCUACUCAGCAUACACACUGGACACGUUUUAUUGCCCUCCGAAUCAACCAACCAGAAGAAGUAAAUGGUUUAUUGAACCACAGCUGUCUGGUCUUAUAUAUUAAAAACAUAUGACAACAGAGGGUAAUGCAGCAGACAGGCAUAAGACAGAACAAUGCGAUUAACAUCAACUAUCCGAACACAAACUACGAUAGAGGCCACCUUAACCCAAGCUUUUACCAGUGUAACGAAGGCCGUACUGCUACUUUCCCACUCACGAACGCUGUUCCACAGGAUCCUUGCUUUAAUCAACAAAUAUGGAAAAACAUGGAAAAAAGGUCCAAAGUAUUAGGGAAGCGAUGGACAUUAGAAUAUGAGUUUUUGUUUCUAAACUGUCUUAAAAAUUCCAAAUCAAGAAAAAAAGAUGCCCUCGUCGAGAAUCGAACCCGGGCCGCCGCGGCAAUAAAACCUUUUACGCUCUCUUUUACCAAUAACAGCAGAGUUUAAAAUAGAAGCUACACAUAGAAUAACAACCCGGUCAAAAAAGAUGCGAAAUGUAUCGUUGUUGAUUCGCAAGCGUUGAAUGGAGUUGAACACAGCCAGUGCCUUUAUCGUGAACAUUUUAUUCAACAGAUAUUUACUGAUAUAAUUUUGCGAUAAAAGAAGUCAUUUGGAUCUAUAUAACAAUAGAAUAUGCAGAGUUCCCCUCAAGUAUGAUUUAUGCCAUUUCGAUUAUAAAGUGAAUUGUUUAAGGCAUUUUUCUCUUCAGGUACUUUGUAACUGGUGCUGUUCCGUCAAAAAAUAAAAUUCCCUCCGUAUUACUUGAUACUGAAGGAGAUCAAACGAGGGAAUAUAACAGAGUCAGUGUGCCGUCGGGAAUGUGGUACUGGUGGCUGUUGUGACUCUUCAAAUGCAGUUAAUGCCGACGAUAGGGGUAAAGGUUUCUCUUUUGGCUAUUACGGUGACAAUGUUCCGGACUCCUACGUCUUUCCAUACACAAUUGACCUAUUAGAAAAAACACUUGCCACCAAAUAUAUGGUAAACACGUUGGAGAUUUUCGCUGACUCAUGUUACUCUUCGUCAAAAACCACUGGUAGUAGUUUUAAGUGAGUUGUCUAUCCCGGUAGAACGUAAAAUUGCAGCAACUUUCUAAUAUGGGGGAUUCUAGUGAGUCGUCACUACAACCUGCUAAAAGAACGUUUAAUAGGAUACGUAAGUUCAAAUUUACAGUGAUAACGAGGCUUUUGCUAAAAAUAACUGGAGACUCGCCGAUGUAGAUUUCGGAUUGAAAGAAAAACGGAGCGAUAUUCAGAGUACGCGCGAUUUGUUGGCGCUUUCUAAAAUGACGACUCUGUUAACAUGUGCAAAUAAUAACAAUUUUGGAAAGCGCGAAGUUCAAGACCUCACUAACGAAAAAGGUGACGUACUAUGUUGUUGUUCCGACUUUAGAGUCGACGCUCAGUGCUACUGGUUCCCGAUGCAGACAAGAUCACCCUUGCGGUUAUCACAAGAAAUCUUACCAAUGGUGCUAUAUCGAGUGGAGUAGCAACUGGGAUUACUGUUGUAUUGAUGCAUGCGGCUUUGAACAAAGCACGAGCUACGCGUGGUGCUAUACAAGUAAUUCUAAAUACUGGGCGUAUUGUUCACAAAGAAGUUCCAUGAUAUCUAUUUCCGGUAAACAAUGUAGGGCUGACCAUGAAUGCGGGUUAAACGGUUGGUGGUACCACUGGUGUUACACAGAUACGAAUAACAACAGGGACUAUUGUUGUCAACCUUGGCAUGAGUGUGACGAUCAUGAAGAGAGCUAUAAAUGGUGCUAUUAUAGCAACAAGAAUGAAAGCUCCUGGAAAUAUUGCCAUUACUGAUGAAAAAUUCUGGAACUACAUGUAUUAUUACUAUUGAGGAAACAUAAUCGAAACAUUACUGUAGUUUAGGAAACAAUAAGGAAACUAAUGCGGAAGUUUCAUCAACGAAUCAGUUUUAUAGUAAAAUGAGGGAAAUAUCUUUGCAAUACAGUAUACAACAUUACUAGUGAAAUGACCGUGUCUGAGCCCAUAAACUUUAAGUCUAAAAAUUUAAAUGCUGGGAAACAUGUAUUCAAUAACGCACGUUUAUGUUUAUAUGCCAGUCAAACAACUUUUUAUGGUAACCAGUAGUUUACUUAAUAUUUACAAAUAAGAGCUGAUUUUCCUGGAA